rnacentral:rRNA from 1 species
AUACGGAGGGUGCAAGCGUUACUCGGAAUCACUGGGCGUAAAGCGCGCGCAGGCGGCUUGAUAAGUUGGAUGUGAAAGCCUACGGCUCAACCGUAGAACUGCAUCCAAAACUGUCAGGCUAGAGUGUGGGAGAGGAAGAUGGAAUUAGUUGUGUAGGGGUAAAAUCCGUAGAGAUAACUAGGAAUACCAAAAGCGAAGGCAAUCUUCUGGAACACUUCUGACGCUGAGGCGCGAAGGCGUGGGGAGCAAACAGGAUUAGAAACCCCAGUAGUCC